rnacentral:rRNA from 1 species
GUGCCAGCAGCCGCGGUAAUACGUAGGUGGCAAGCGUUGUCCGGAUUUACUGGGCGUAAAGGGAGCGUAGGUGGAUAUUUAAGUGGGAUGUGAAAUACUCGGGCUUAACCUGGGUGCUGCAUUCCAAACUGGAUAUCUAGAGUGCAGGAGAGGAAAGUAGAAUUCCUAGUGUAGCGGUGAAAUGCGUAGAGAUUAGGAAGAAUACCAGUGGCGAAGGCGACUUUCUGGACUGUAACUGACACUGAGGCUCGAAAGCGUGGGGAGCAAACAGGGUUAGAUACCCUGGUAGUCCACGCCGUAAACGAUGGGUACUAGGUGUAGGAGGUAUCGACUCCCCCCUGUGCCGCCGUUAACACAAUAAGUACCCCCGCCUGGGGAGUACGGUCGCAAGAUUAAAACUCAAAGGAAUUGACGGGGCCGGCCACAAGCAGCGGCAGCAUGUGGUUUAAUUCGAAGCAACGCGAAGAACCUUACCUAGACUUGACAUCUCCUGAAUU